rnacentral:misc_RNA from 1 species
UUGAUUUGAUUUGUAUAAUCACACUCAGAGAUCCUCUAAAAAACAGAAGUUUCGGUCCCCCGGCGGGCGCCUGGAUCCGGGGCACGCCUGUGAGGGCGCGCCCGGGGCGCAUCCGCCGAAGCAACAGUGGUAUGUUCACAAUGGGUUUGGGAGUUUUUACACUCAGUAAUGAUCCCUCCGCUGGUUCACCAACGGAGA